rnacentral:lncRNA from 1 species
AGAUACAUCAGCUUGAUGUUCACUGCCAUUCUAAAGCUCUCUGCAUUCUUUGUGAAAAGGUUUUGAUGGUGUAAGAAAAUAAGAAAGCCACAUCUUCAAAAUGCAGCUUCUGAAACCAGAUAAAAGCUUGAAUUCCACUUGGAGAGGCUGAUCCACAGGGGCAAAUGCAAAAGGAAGGUGCUCAAGGCCUGUGUCCUGGGAUGCUGAGUUGCCAGAUGGUGAAGUGGAUUAAAGACUCAGGCUUCAGUACACCAUGUUCCCCAGAAGAAGGAAACUGGCUCCUGAGUGGGAGUUACUGCUAAUUUCAGUGAUCUGGGAUCUGGUUCUGUAUUGUAGUUGUGUACAAAGUUAGAAAUAACAGACAACUCCAUGUCCUAAGUUAGGGAAGAUGAUCUCAUUUUGAGUAUAUUAUUCUGUGAGCAUAUUCUUCUCUGUGUUGAUUACUGCUAGGGAUUUUUUAGAACACUUUGCAUCUAACUCAUUUAUGAUUCUGUUCACUGUUAGUGUAUUGAUGAUAGACACAAUGCACUUGUGUAUAUUUUAAUUUGAAACCCUAUUUUUUUUGUGCAGUUAUGAUUUCAUCUUUCAAAUUAGAUCGAUGUUCAACAGAAUUAGUUGAUUUAUAUUGUCAAAAUUGUGUUGCACUUCUUAUUGAAACUCACUGCUUUUCGUAAAAUAACCUUUUUGCUUUAGGACUACCAUUAUAAUUAAUACCAAUAAAAUGGUAUUUUUUUCUAUGGCAUAUACAUGCUCCAAAUAAUGCAUCUCUUAAAAAACAGAGAUUUGUGAAAUUACUUUCUUUGAUGAAAAAUGUAGGCUCGCUUGUGCCAAAUGUUUUCUGAAUACUUGUCAGUCUUUGCCGCAGUUUAUUUUUGUUGCUUUCAGAAUGCUGGAUAUAAACUAUGCUGAUCCUUCC